rnacentral:rRNA from 1 species
AUUCCUACGGGAGGCAGCAGUAGGGAAUCUUCCGCAAUGGGCGAAAGCCUGACGGAGCAACGCCGCGUGAGUGAUGAAGGUCUUCGGAUCGUAAAACUCUGUUAUUAGGGAAGAACAAAUGUGUAAGUAACUAUGCACGUCUUGACGGUACCUAUUCAGAAAGCCACGGCUAACUACGUGCCAGCAGCCGCGGUAAUACGUAGGUGGCAAGCGUUAUCCGGAAUUAUUGGGCGUAAAGCGCGCGUAGGCGGUUUUUUAAGUCUGAUGUGAAAGCCCACGGCUCAACCGUGGAGGGUCAUUGGAAACUGGAAAACUUGAGUGCAGAAGAGGAAAGUGGAAUUCCAUGUGUAGCGGUGAAAUGCGCAGAGAUAUGGAGGAACACCAGUGGCGAAGGCGACUUUCUGGUCUGUAACUGACGCUGAUGUGCGAAAGCGUGGGGAUCAAACAGGAUUAGAUACCCUGGUAGUCCACGCCGUAAACGAUGAGUGCUAAGUGUUAGGGGGUUUCCGCCCCUUAGUGCUGCAGCUAACGCAUUAAGCACUCCGCCUGGGGAGUACGACCGCAAGGUUGAAACUCAAAGGAAUUGACGGAAU